CUGUAUAAAAUACAUAUGCCACAUUGCGUGAAAUUAUAUAUACGUUCACACGUAUACUAUAAUAUAGCGCAUAUGACGGUUCCGUGAUAUAUCAUGUUACACGACGCUCGGUCGUCGUAUAUCUAUGUAUAUUGCGGUCCGUUUAAAUAUUGUCUAACGACACACGUUGAUUAUAUAAUUUAUAUAUCAUACGACAAUGUUAGAGAUUAUUAUAUAAUAUUUGUCGAACGAUCGACGGUGUUACCGCUGAUGCGCUUCGCGGCGUAAGGCGGGACGCUUUCGACUCUUCGAGAGUUAGUUAGGUGUUAUGUAACAAUAUCACCCGCGUACACGAGAGGGUUGAUGGCGUGUGCAUGUUUUUUUUUUUUUUUUUUUUUUCUAUUGAAAGAAAUAAAAUUAAACUAGUGUUCAACACCGUUCACAUAUCGCGAGACACAUGAAUAUUAUCAAUCUCUAUUUUAUAACAAUUGACGUAUACACAAUGAUAUAUAUAAGACUUAAAUCGUCGACAGUAGGCGGACUCGACGUCCGAAGAGCGCAUCGACGCCGUCGUCGUUAUCGAUCGUUAUUAUUGUAAAAAAUGUAACGUGUCGUGGCGGUUGCGUCGUCGUAACGCUGACGGAUAUCGCGUCUGCCUCAUAUUUUUAUCGUUGGCCUCAGAUCAGGGAGGAUCACCCGCCGAAUUUAAGCAUAUUAGUAAGCGGAGGAAAAGAAACUAACUAGGAUUUCCUUAGUAGCGGCGAGCGAACAGGAAAGAAGCCCAGCACUGAAUCCCGCCGUUGUUCAGGCGGCGGGAGAUGUGGUGUUCGGGAGGUUCCGCUUUCUCGUCGCGAUCGCUCCUGUCCAAGUUCGUCUUGAACGGGGCCGUUUUCCCGUAGAGGGUGCCAGGCCCGUAGCGACGGAGGAUCGCGGCGAGAGGGACUCUCCUUAGAGUCGGGUUGCUUGAGAGUGCAGCCCUAAGUGGGUGGUAA
rnacentral:sRNA from 1 species